rnacentral:rRNA from 1 species
AAAGCCAGUCUGCCUUUUUGGCAGGCGACACUCGCCUGUAGCUGGAAAUCUUCCCUCUCGGGGGUCGACAAUCAGCUGCUGCAUGCUAAAUUUUGCAGUUCACAGAUCAAACGCGGGUGGCCUCCUGUAUCCCCUUGUCGCUGAUGAGGAUUAUCUGGGGGGUUAAGAUAUGACCGUAGCCGCUCCGUGACGGGGCGGUAUACUAGUUCCGUAGGUGAACCUGCGGAAGGAUCAUUACUGAGAGGGGGGUUUCGCGCCCCAGGGGCUCUGCCCCGCACCUUUCCACCCUUUGUUCAUCCUUCACUGUUGCUUUGGCGGGCCUCCGGGGUCUCCCCGGCGCCGACUUCCUCCGUGGAGUUCGCGAGCGCUCGCCAAAGGCCCAUCAAAAUUCGCUUUCACCAGGCGGUCUGAGUUAUACAAAUACAAACAAAACUUUCAACAACGGAUCUCUUGGUUCUGGCAUCGAUGAAGAACGCAGCGAAAUGCGAUAAGUAAUGUGAAUUGCAGAAUUCAGUGAAUCAUCGAAUCUUUGAACGCACAUUGCGCCCUUUGGUAUUCCGAAGGGCAUGCCUGUUCGAGCGUCAUUACAACCCUCAAGCUUUGCUUGGUAUUGGGCGAUUCGCCUCCCGAACUUCUCGGGGAGCGUGCCCGAAACUUAGUGGCGGUCCGGGUGGACUACAAGCGCAGUAAAUUCUAUCCGCUUCUAUAGUUUCCGUCUGCGAUCCGGCCAGAGAAACCUUUCAACCCCCCAAAAAUUGACCUCGGAUCAGGUAGGGAUACCCGCUGAACUUAAGCAUAUC